rnacentral:rRNA from 1 species
GAUGAACGCUGGCGGCGUGCCUAAUACAUGCAAGUCGAGCGAACAGACGAGGAGCUUGCUCCUCUGACGUUAGCGGAGGACGGGUGAGUAACACGUGGAUAACCUACCUAUAAGACUGGGAUAACUUCGGGAAACCGGAGCUAAUACCGGAUAAUAUAUUGAACCGCAUGGUUCGAUAGUGAAAGACGGUUUUGCUGUCACUUAUAGAUGGAUCCGCGCCGCAUUAGCUAGUUGGUAAGGUAACGGCUUACCAAGGCAACGAUGCGUAGCCGACCUGAGAGGGUGAUCGGCCACACUGGAACUGAGACACGGUCCAGACUCCUACGGGAGGCAGCAGUAGGGAAUCUUCCGCAAUGGGCGAAAGCCUGACGGAGCAACGCCGCGUGAGUGAUGAAGGUCUUCGGAUCGUAAAACUCUGUUAUUAGGGAAGAACAAAUGUGUAAGUAACUAUGCACGUCUUGACGGUACCUAAUCAGAAAGCCACGGCUAACUACGUG